UACGAAGGGGGCUAGCGUUGCUCGGAAUCACUGGGCUUAAAGGGCGCGUAGGCGGGUUCGAAAGUCUGUGGUGAAAGCCUCCAGCUUAACUGGAGAAGUGCCAUGGAUACUGCGAACCUGGAGGAGGGUAGGGGCAUCUGGAACGCUGGGUGGAGCGGUGAAAUGCGUUGAUAUCCAGCGGAACUCCGGUGGCGAAGGCAGCCCCCUGGGUUAACACU
rnacentral:rRNA from 1 species